rnacentral:rRNA from 1 species
GAGUUUGAUCGUGGCUCAGAUUGAACGCUGGCGGCAUGCCUAACACAUGCAAGUCGAACGGCAGCACUGGGAGCUUGCUCCCUGGUGGCGAGUGGCGGACGGGUGAGUAACGCGUAGGAAUCUGCCUCAUAGCGGGGGACAACUCGGGGAAACUCGAGUUAAUACCGCAUACUACUCGAGAGAGGAAAGCAGGGGACCUUCGGGCCUCGCACUAUGAGAUGAGCCUGCGUUGGAUUAGCUAGUUGGUAGGGUAAAGGCCUACCAAGGCGACGAUCCAUAACUGGUUUGAGAGGGAUGACCAGUCACACUGGGACUGAGACACGGCCCAGACUCCUACGGGGGGCAGCAGUGGGGAAUAUUGGACAAUGGGGGAAACCCUGAUCCAGCAAUGCCGCGUGUGUGAAGAAGGCCUGAGGGUUGUAAAGCACUUUAGUCGUGAGGAAAUGUUAAUGGUUAAUAACUAUUAGCUUUGACGUUAGGCGACAGAAAAAGCACCGGCUAAACUCUGUGCCAGCAGCCG